rnacentral:rRNA from 1 species
GGGGAAUUUUCCGCAAUGGGCGAAAGCCUGACGGAGCAAUCUCGCGUGAGGGAUGACUGCCUAUGGGUUGUAAACCUCUUUUUUCAGGGAGGAAUAAAUGACGUGUACCUGAAGAAUAAGCAUCGGCUAACUCCGUGCCAGCAGCCGCGGUAAGACGGAGGAUGCAAGUGUUAUCCGGAAUCACUGGGCGUAAAGCGUCUGUAGGUGGUUUAAUAAGUCAACUGUUAAAUCUUGAAGCUCAACUUCAAAAUCGCAGUCGAAACUACUAGACUAGAGUAUAGUAGGGGUAAAGGGAAUUUCCAGUGGAGCGGUGAAAUGCGUAGAGAUUGGAAAGAACACCGAUGGCGAAGGCACUUUACUGGGCUAUUACUAACACUGAGAGACGAAAGCUAGGGUGGCAAAUGGGAUUAGAUACCCCUGUAGUC